UACAGAACACGUAUAAUUUACAUUUCCUUGUCUGAUGUAAAAAGCGUGAGUACCACAAUAUACACCAACGCAUGGUUUCUGGCAUUGAAUUGGCUUCCCCAUAAGUGUAUAUCUGCACGGAUUCAUGAUUAUACACCUAUCAUAUCAUCUGUCUAAAUGAAAAGCACAUAUCGAGUCUCUCAACCAGCCAGAUCUAUUUAUAGCUUGGCCAGUCAGCACUGGACAGACCCUGACUGGGAUGUUUUUGUAAACAAACGCCGUAAAGUUGAAGUAACUCGAUCAGUUUCAAGCCAAGUCAUGCCAGACACAGAUGCCCCAAAAGUACAGGUCCCCAGUCCAUCAUGGUGUACAGUCACUGUCCAAUGUACACCAGAAGCAUGGGUAUACAGUAUGAGGUCCCACAAUGAUUUUAUGGAAGAGUAUACAUGCGCCGAAACCCUUUCCAUAUUCAUAUGAAAUCUCUGUAAAAAACAAAGUCGAUGGUACGAUUCUGACUAAAUCAUGAGCACGUGUUAAUGAAUCGCUAUCAAAUAGUGAUAAUACCAGGUGUUCACGAAAGGUGAGAGUAUCCUGCCCCACCAAUGUCAAAUUGUGUUUAUUUACAUGCAGAGUCAUAAAAUAUUAGAGCAUCUUGUGAGGUACAGUGCUUCAGACAACAAGAGAGCUGUACUUUUUAAUUAGUCAACCAGUGCACUAACAAGUUGCCACUGAGCAUUUAGCCAGUGCUUGUGAUAUUUUCUUCAGUUUUCCCCAGCCUUUGCCCUUGCCCAAAACUACCUCAUCCAGCAUCAGCCACCCUGUAUUACAGAAACUUAUCAAAUGAAACAGCAAAGGCUGAUUGUUGUCAGAGACCAUAAAACAAGAUUUCAAUGAAAAAAGUUUAUUUUAAUGAGCAUAGAGAAAAACAUUACAUACAUCAGAUGCAAAUCUUUCACGAAUCACCUCGACAACACAAGACGGAAUAACUUUUCUCUGAUUCUUCAACUAUUUCUGCAAAUCCCCAAAGUGAACCUCUUGUUUAUGAGGUGUAGAUAGAUUCUGAAAUGAAAAAGUGUCUUUUAUUAGUCAAGCUAUACACAACAUUACAAAAAAUAUCAUACCAUUUACGUAUAUAUUUUUGUCAUUCAAUCUGGAGGGAUGCCUAUAUAAGAAGUAACUUGUAUUGAUGAUAUAUGCAUACUUUUUAUUACAUGUUAAUAAUUCAAUAAAUACCAAAACAGUUUAUAGUUCUAUCAUGUUGACAUGAUGUGUUUAUUACUAUAGGUUUGAAUACCUCUUGAAAUAUUGUGGGCAUGUUUCAAUAUCACUGAUGUAAUUUAAUAACUUUACAAGUUACAUAUGCUUUCACAACUUGCUGGCAAAUAAACAUUUAUGGUACUGGAGAUUUAUUUUACUUGUCAGAUUUGUUUGUUGUGCAUGAUAGAUCUUAAAAUGCAUAAUAAAAUAAAGUGAUGAAAGCAAAUAAUAUUAUGUUUUUCUAAACUUUAUUUCAAGUGUUAAUAUAAAAAAGGGUGGUGGGGUAGCCUUGUGGUGAAAGCGUUCAACCGUCACCCUGAAGACCCAAGUUCGAUUCCCCACAUGGGCACAACAUGUAAAGCUCAUUUCUGGUGUCCCCCAGUUGUGAUAUUGCUGGAAUAUUGCUAAAAGCAGCGUAAAACCCUACUCACUAAUUCAUUUAAAAAAAUGAUUGCAUAUUUCAUUUGCAAUUCAGGGGUUGGUUGUUACAGACAUUUUGCUCAAAAGGUCAGGUCGGGAGGUCCAAAUUUCCAAACAAAGAUUUACAAUUUCAAAUAUUUUUCACUAAUAUUCAACAAGUUUUACUUAUAGUUUCUUAAAUAAUUUAUAUGUAUUGAUUGUGACAGUAAAUGAGCUUCUUGUAAACAUUUUACAUAUAUCUGGUCCACUCAGUUAAACAACCCACUGUUUUUAAUAAUUAAUUAUAUAUUAGAUUUUUCUUCUUUUUUUUAGUUUCUAAACAUUUUUUUAAAAAUCUGGCCUCAUAAUAGAUGAUAAAUAGUUUCCCUGCAAAGUUGCAAUGCAUUUUCUAUGAAUGGUUGUCAGAACAUACCAAUAACCAAUUAUCUAUUAAAUAGAAUAAGAUACUGUAGUAACUGGUUUCAAACACUAAACACAUCAAUGGAGUGAUCUAUCUUUUCACUUUCAAAAGGGGACGGUGUGAAGUGUGAAGUACGACAUCCAGUUACUUAUCAAUAAACAUGGCAGGUAUUUUGAACUCGGAUGGGAACAAAUCAAAGAGAAUCUCUCCCCCCCAGUACGUUUCCACUUGGCAACCGACUUUAGAAACGUACCCCAUUUUCAUGUUACUCUAAGCAUAUGGUCUCCUCAUCAGCUG